GGGAAUCUACUGAAAAGGGUUUGUUCUCUGAAAAUGACAGGCAAGCAGGGUACCCUUCCUCUUCCUGCCUUAAAUCCAGAUAUCUGAUAUCUGGAGCCACAGCAGUGAUCCUGCAUCCAGGAGCCAGUGAACUCUGAAAUGAACGGCCAGCACUCUAGCAUUAGUGAAGCAGAGAGAAGGGCCCUGGGCUUGAGGGACCGGCUCAGCUGCAGGCCUGCUUCCUGAGGCCCUGAGCCCACAGCACCUCAUGGUGCCACUUGGGCUUAAGCAGUGCUACAGCUGAGCACUCUUCUAGAGUUGCUCACGUCUCUGAACAGCCACGAAGGCCUAGCUGCCAAGCAGGCCUGGCUCCUCUUUGGACCACUCGGCCUCAGCAGGAGGCCCUGGGUGAUGGGCAGGGUGGCUGACCAGCUGUGGCCUUUCUCACCGGAGCUAGACAAGGUGGGCACCCAGGAGCAAACCUCCCUGUCACCUUCCAGACAGGGACUUCAGAGGAGGCUGACAUUGCCAAGAUGUGGCCAGCACCCUUCCUGAGAAGCUGUGCUUGGGCAUGAGGGUCAGGUAGUGGCCCCACUAUCCCCGUGUGGGGCAGGCCUGCUGUGCACUGCCCUCCUGUGGGAACCAGGAUACUCUGUGAGGGCCAAGUAUGUCCAUCUGGGGCAAGACUGGGAGCUGCACUGGGCGCCGGGACAUCCAGGUCAGGGCACACUCAGCCUUAGCACCAUCUGGCCUCAUCUGGGCACAGACAGCCCGAGGCUGCUCUCUCCACUUUCCCUGCUGUCACAAGCCAAAAGGUGACUGUCUCCAGCUCAGCUGUACUGGGCUCCUUCCCACGAAGCCUGCAGCAGGAGUGUCCAGUGAGGUCCAAGACAGGGAGUCCUGAGGCAGGGUUGUCUUGUUUCUUAUGCCUGCCAACUGGGUCUCGUGGGAGGAAGGAUGUGGUCACCUCUGCCAAAGGCUACCCCAGUCUCAUGCCUUUGAAGUCUCAGGCUUGGCAGAGGAGGGAUGGGGAGAAACAUCCCUCUCAAAGGCCUUGUUCAUGGAAGUGGAAAUCCACAUCCCUGUUAAGGGGCCCUGAAGCAGGGGGCGGGGGCGGGCUGCCCGCCGCUGCCCCGAGGUGCACAGUGGUCUGCAGCUGCUGCUGCCUGGGCUGCACGUGGCUUUGGGCCAGUGCUGCAGCACAGCCCUCGUGCUGGAACCCGCUCCCCUGGGCCAUUCUCAAUGAGGGGCAGAGGUCAUGGAGGCAAAGAGCUGAGCUCAGGGUAUGGCAGUAUGUGGGCCCUGUUCUCCAUGCGGGCUCUCCGUGGAGGCUUGUGGGACUGGUGAGCUGCCAGAAAGAAGCAGUCCACCAACAUGGAAAACGGCCAGAUCCACUAAGGAUGGACACCUUGUGGCACCAACAUUGCCCCUUGUUCCCCAGGGGAUGUGCGCCAAGCCUCCAACGCCACCUUGGGCCGUCCCGAGUAGCUGGAAGCUGUCCAAAUGCCAAGCAUGAUCUGCUCACAUAAUGGACACCACACGGUCUAAGUGGGAGGAUUUUAAUUACCUGCAAUAAAAAGGAUGAAUCUCAGUGUGAGUCAAAAUACCAACCAGAAGGUUCCAUUUAUAUGACAUUCCAAGAAAGGCAAAAUUCACCUGUGGUGUUGAGGUCAGGACAGUGGCUUGCAAGAGCAGGCAGGAAGGGACCUGAGGCUGUUCUGGCGCGGGCCACUCUGCAAUCUGUGGGUCUGGGUGCUGCUUCCUGGCUGUCCUCAGGCUGGGGAAGCCAUCAUUCUGAUGUUUGUCAUCUGUGGGUUUCCAUCUGUGUUGUACUUAAGUGCUCCACAGUAAACACGAGGAGUUGGUGAGUUGCAGGGUGGGGUUGUAAGGAGAGUCCCACCAGGGUUAGUGGGCACUGUCCUGUGCUUUCACACACUGGUGUUCGGGCAUGGUGUGGCCCGAGGCUGUCUGGCAGUGGGAUAGAUGAAGGAGUGAGAGAAUGGAUUCUAACACACGUACUGCAGAAACAAGUGCUUUCAAAACACCUCAGGGUUGCUAGGUGCAGUGGUCACACCCAUCAUCUCAGUGAGGCCAUGAGGCUGUGAGGCCAAGGCAGGAGGAUCACAGCUUCAAAGCCAACCUUUGCAAUUUAGCAAGACCCUGCUUCAAAAUAAAAUUAAAAGGGCUGGGGGUGUGGUCCAGUGGUAGAGGGCCUCUGGGUUCAUUUCCUAGUACAGCCAAUAAAUAAACACACAAUAAAUAAAAAAAAGGUCUAGGGAUAUAGUUCAGUGUCAGAGCACUCCUGGAUUCAAUCCCUAGUACCACAAAAUAGAAUCUAAAUAUUUUUUUUUUUAAAUGGGCUGGGGAUAUGGCUUAUUGGUAGAGGGCUUACCUAGCAUGUGCGAGACCCUGGGUACAGUCUUUAGUAAUGCAAGACACAAACACAUCUUGCCCGAGAAAGUGCUGGGGCACCCUGGAGAGAGCCUAGCAGAUACCCAAAUGGGAGCAGGACUGCCUUCCCCACCCAGGCAAGGGCUGUAAAUGGUUCUCAAGGUUCCAUCCCUGGCUGUGGCCCACUAAGGCCAGAGACAAGAGUGCCCUGAUGUGGUCCCCAGCUCCAGGUCCUGUAUGCCCACAGCAUGAAUGGGGGUGCCACCAGGGAGGGGUAGGCAGCUGCAGCUGGUGCCCCAGGGAGUGAGCAAGUCCGCAUGGUGACAGGUGCUGGUAGACCUCAGCAGGAUGCAUCUGGCCAGCCGCCAGGAGAACGGCCCCCCACAGCCCCAGCAGCGCU
rnacentral:lncRNA from 1 species